rnacentral:rRNA from 1 species
ACGCUGGCGGCGUGCUUAACACAUGCAAGUCGAACGGAAAGGCCCUGCUUUUGUGGGGUGCUCGAGUGGCGAACGGGUGAGUAACACGUGAGUAACCUGCCCUUGACUUUGGGAUAACUUCAGGAAACUGGGGCUAAUACCGGAUAGGAGCUCCUGCUGCAUGGUGGGGUUGGAAAGUUUCGGCGUUGGGGGUGGACUCGCGGCUUAUCAGCUUGUUGGUGGGGUAGUGGCUUACCAAGGCUUUGACGGGUAGCCGGCCUGAGAGGGUGACCGGCCACAUUGGGACUGAGAUACGGCCCAGACUCCUACGGGAGGCAGCAGUGGGGAAUAUUGCACAAUGGGCGGAAGCCUGAUGCAGCAACGCCGCGUGCGGGAUGACGGCCUUCGGGUUGUAAACCGCUUUCGCCUGUGACGAAGCGUGAGUGACGGUAAUGGGUAAAGAAGCACCGGCUAACUACGUG